rnacentral:rRNA from 1 species
CGUAGGUGGCAAGCGUUAUCCGGAAUUAUUGGGCGUAAAGCGCGCGUAGGCGGUUUUUUAAGUCUGAUGUGAAAGCCCACGGCUCAACCGUGGAGGGUCAUUGGAAACUAGGAAAACUUGAGUGCAGAAGAGGAAAGUGGAAUUCCAUGUGUAGCGGUGAAAUGCGCAGAGAUAUGGAGGAACACCAGUGGCGAAGGCGACUUUCUGGUCUGUAACUGACGCUGAUGUGCGAAAGCGUGGGGGAUCAAACAGGAUU